GCAGUCUACAAUCUCUCUCCAGAAUGGUUUCUCGUGUCGUGUUCGCCUGCUUGGUCGUAAUUCUGCUGGCUGCCUGCGCCUUGGCCUUUCCUGAGCCAAGCGGAGGAUACGGACACGUAGGGCACGGAUACGGACAUGGGUAUGGGGGCCACCCUGUGCCUUUAACCCAUGGCGGUUAUGGCAACGGAUACGGACACAGGCCGGCGUACUGGUGAGAGUUCCAGUUAGAAGCCGUCCAUGGAUUCUGUCUCCAGUAACACGAUAGGAAAAAAAAAUUAGCAAAAUAAUGAAACGAGGGUCAAGGAACCAGCUCUUUCUCGCUUAAAUCAUCUUCCUGUUUGUCUAAUUGGCGUCUGUCUUUUUUACAAUUACGGCUGUAUGUUUCCUGUAACAAUGUAUUUCAUUCUUAUCCCCCAAUAAAGUUCGAUUUUUCAGU